rnacentral:rRNA from 1 species
UGCCAGCAGCCCCGGUAAUACGGAAGGUGCAAGCGUUAAUCGGAAUUACUGGGCGUAAAGCGCGCGUAGGUGGUUUGUUAAGUUGGAUGUGAAAGCCCUGGGCUCAACCUAGGAACUGCAUCCAAAACUAACUAACUAGAGUACGAUAGAGGGAGGUAGAGUUCAUAGUGUAGCGGUGGAAUGCGUAGAUAUUAUGAAGAAUACCAGUGGCGAAGGCGGCUCACUGGCUCGAUACUGACGCUGAGGUGCGAAAGCGUGGGGAGCAAACAGGAUUAGAUA